GUGCUCACUUUGGUGGCAUAUAUACUAAAAAUGGAAUGAUACAGAGAUUAACAUGGCCUCUGUGCAGGGAUGGUACAAAAUUUGUGAAGCAUUCCAUGUUUUA
rnacentral:snRNA from 1 species